UACAGAGGUCUCAAGCGUUGUUCGGAUUCAUUGGGCGUAAAGGGUGCGUAGGCGGCGCGGUAAGUCGGGUGUGAAAUCUCGGGGCUUAACUCCGAAACUGCAUUCGAUACUGCCGUGCUUUGAGGACUGGAGAGGAGACUGGAAUUUACGGUGUAGCGGUGAAAUGCGUAGAUAUCGUAAGGAAGACCAGUGGCGAAGGCGGGUCGUCUGGACAAGUUCCGUGACGGCUGAGGCACGAAGGGUCAGGGGAGCAAACGGG
rnacentral:rRNA from 1 species